rnacentral:rRNA from 1 species
AUUGAACGCUGGCGGCAUGCCUUACACAUGCAAGUCGAACGGCAGCACGGGAGCAAUCCUGGUGGCGAGUGGCGAACGGGUGAGUAAUAUAUCGGAACGUGCCCAGUCGUGGGGGAUAACGUAGCGAAAGCUACGCUAAUACCGCAUACGAUCUAUGGAUGAAAGCGGGGGAUCGCAAGACCUCGCGCGAUUGGAGCGGCCGAUAUCAGAUUAGGUAGUUGGUGAGGUAAAGGCUCACCAAGCCGACGAUCUGUAGCUGGCCUGAGAGGACGACCAGCCACACUGGGACUGAGACACGGCCCAGACUCCUACGGGAGGCAGCAGUGGGGAAUUUUGGACAAUGGGCGCAAGCCUGAUUCAGCAAUGCCGCGUGCAGGAUGAAGGCCUUCGGGUUGUAAACUGCUUUUGUACGGAGCGAAACGGCUUCCACUAAUACUGGGGGCUAAUGACGGUACCGUAAGAAUAAGCACCGGCUAACUACGUGCCAGCCGCCGCCGUAACAC